CCAGACUCCUACGGGAGGCAGCAGUGGGGAAUAUUGCACAAUGGGGGAAACCCUGAUGCAGCGACGCCGCGUGAGUGAAGAAGUAUCUCGGUACGUAAAGCUCUAUCAGCAGGGAAGAAAAUGACGGUACCUGACUAAGAAGCCCCGGCUAAAUACGUGCCAGCAGCCGCGGUAAUACGUAUGGGGCAAGCGUUAUCCGGAUUUACUGGGUGUAAAGGGAGCGCAGGCGGCCUGCCAAGUCUGGUGUGAAAACCCGGGGCCCAACCCCGGGCCUGCAUUGGAAACUGGCGGGCUGGAGUGUCGGAGGGGCAGGCGGAAUUCCUAGUGUAGCGGUGAAAUGCGUAGAUAUUAGGAGGAACACCAGUGGCGAAGGCGGCCUGCUGGGCUUUAACUGACGCUGAGGCUCGAAAGCGUGGGGAGCAAACAGGAUUAGAUACCCCCGUA
rnacentral:rRNA from 1 species